rnacentral:rRNA from 1 species
CGCGGGGGGAGCAAGCGUUGUUCGGAAUCACUGGGCGUAAAGGGCGUGUAGGCGGUUGGGUAAGUGGAAUGUGAAAUGCCCCGGCUCACCCGGGGACCGGCAUUCCAAACUGCUCAGCUCGAGUAUGGGAGAGGAUGAGGGAAUUCCUGGUGUAGCGGUGAAUUGCGUAGAUAUCAGGAGGAACACCGGUGGCGAAAGCGCUCAUCUGGCCCAAUACUGACGCUGAGGCGCGAAAGCUAGGGGAGCAAACGGG